CUUGAAUGAUUUGUUUGUUGGCAUGACCCCAACCCUGCUGAUGCUCCACCUGUUCUUCUGGAACUUCAACACUUUCCAGAUGAAGUGUGACUUUUUUCUCCUCUUUUGGUCACCAAAUUGUGGGUCAAUGUAGCCUCUGCAUAAGGUCCAUCCUCUGACCAGAUUAAUUGCCCAAUCCAAACCCGUUUCUUAUCUAUGCUACCAUGUGGGCUCAUGAAAGGGAAUACAGGUCAAGUACCUGAUACAUAGCCAGCACUUUGAAUAUAUCAGUAAGUCAUUGUGUUAAUGAAUUUGUUUGGCAAAGACAAAUUCUUGAGUCAUCUGAACAUACACAUGAGAUUGUGUUUGUGAUAGCACCCAUGCUCAUGCACCAUACUAGACAGGGAGCAAACAGCUACUUUCCCUCCACAGUCCAAAGUAGACAGAGCAGCUUCCACUAAUAACCAUUUCCCCUGCUUGUUUCUGUGAGAAAGAUGGUGCACAGAGGAACCUGGGGCAUGUGAUUCUGAUAUAUGA
rnacentral:lncRNA from 1 species